CUUUCCGGCUGCCGACCCGCCGAGUGGUCCCUUCCAGGCGGCCUCAGCUUAUCAUCGCCGGUCCGGCCACUUCCCGGCCGCGGCCAGGCGAGCCUCCCAAAGUUUCCUGUGACGCCUUCGUCCGUCUCCGGCCCCAUCUCACCACGGCAGCCCAGGACACCCGCUAGGGAGGAGCAGGUUACCGAGGCGGGGAGAGCGGCACAAACGCGCAGACCUCGGGACUCCACCCGGGCUGAUAUGUGCUGAUUAGAAGGCUCACUUGUGCAGUGUGGAGGAUAACCAGUGCCUUACAAAAUGGGGUUUGGGAGUGACCUGAAGAAUUCACAUGAAGCAGUGUUAAAAUUGCAAGACUGGGAAUUACGGUUACUGGAAACAGUAAAGAAAUUUAUGGCCCUGAGAAUAAAAAGUGAUAAAGAAUAUGCAUCUACUUUACAGAACCUUUGUAAUCAAGUUGAUAAGGAAAGUACUGUCCAAAUGAAUUAUGUCAGCAACGUAUCCAAGUCUUGGCUACUUAUGAUUCAGCAGACAGAACAACUUAGUAGGAUAAUGAAG
rnacentral:sRNA from 1 species